GAUGAACGCUGACAGAAUGCUUAACACAUGCAAGUCUUUGGUGAAGCUGUGCUUGCACAGCCUAGCCAAGGCGGACGGGUGAGUAACGCGUAAGGAACUUGCCCUGCAGUCAGGGAUAACAGACGGAAACGACUGAUAAGACCUGGUAAAGUCAGGCGGACUCAUGUCCAGCCUGAUGAAAAGAGAUGCUGCAGGAGAGCCUUGCGUCCUAUUAGCUUGUUGGUGGGGUAACGGCCCACCAAGGCAAUGAUAGGUAGCCGGCCUGAGAGGGUGGACGGCCACAAGGGGACUGAGAUACGGCCCUUACUCCUACGGGAGGAAGCAGUGGGGAAUAUUGGACAAUGGGGGCAACCCUGAUCCAGCAAUUCUGUGUGCACGAUGAAGGUUUUCGGAUUGUAAAGUGCUUUCAGCAGGGAAGAAAAAAAUGACGGUACCUGCAGAAGAAGCGACGGCUAAAUACGUG
rnacentral:rRNA from 1 species